rnacentral:rRNA from 1 species
AUUGAACGCUGGCGGCAUGCCUUACACAUGCGAGUCGAACGGUAACAGGUCUUCGGAUGCUGACGAGUGGCGAACGGGUGAGUAAUACAUCGGAACGUGCCCGAUCGUGGGGGAUAACGAAGCGAAAGCUUUGCUAAUACCGCAUACGAUCUACGGAUGAAAGCAGGGGACCGCAAGGCCUUGCGCGAACGGAGCGGCCGAUGGCAGAUUAGGUAGUUGGUGGGAUAAAAGCUUACCAAGCCGACGAUCUGUAGCUGGUCUGGGAGGACGACCAGCCACACUGGGACUGAGACACGGCCCAGACUCCUACGGGAGGCAGCAGUGGGGAAUUUUGGACAAUGGGCGAAAGCCUGAUCCAGCCAUGCCGCGUGCAGGAUGAAGGCCUUCGGGUUGUAAACUGCUUUUGUACGGAACGAAAAGACUCUGGUUAAUACCUGGGGUCCAUGACGGUACCGUAAGAAUAAGCACCGGCUAACUACGUG